rnacentral:lncRNA from 1 species
AUGAUGAAAAUGGUCUGGAAUUAUCAAGCUGCUCAAUCAGCUCAGACUAGAGCAAACACAUGUAAGAGGACAAACAAUUCACCAAAUGGAAAACAAUUUUACGAUUCAACAUUUGGUGAAAACAUAUAUCAGUCACGUAAACCUGUCUCCUGGAAAUCUGUUAUCCUUGAAUGGAUUAAACAGAAAGCUAAUUUCCUUUAUGGUGUUGGAGCCAAUUCACCAGAUGCCCCAAUUCAAAAUUAUACUCAGGUAUGAAGGAAGAAGUUUAAUAUUUUAUUAAUUAUUCAUGACUUCUAUGUUCUUAAUUAGAUCAUCUUUGUCUCCCUUUCUAAUAACACACACACACACACACAAUUUUAC